GCCCUUGUGGCGGAAUCGGUAGACGCGAGGGACUUAAAAUCCCUUCCUACGCAAGUGGGGUGCAGGUUCAAUUCCUGUCGGGGGCACCA
rnacentral:tRNA from 1 species